rnacentral:rRNA from 1 species
ACUCCUACGGGAGGCAGCAGUGGGGAAUAUUGCACAAUGGAGGAAACUCUGAUGCAGCAACGCCGCGUGGGGGAUGACGCAUUUCGGUGUGUAAACUCCUUUUAUAUGGGAAGAUAAUGACGGUACCAUAUGAAUAAGCACCGGCUAACUCCGUGCCAGCAGCCGCGGUAAUACGGAGGGUGCAAGCGUUACUCGGAAUCACUGGGCGUAAAGCGCAUGCAGGCGGUCUAAUAAGUUGGAAGUGAAAGCCUAUGGCUCAACCAUAGAACUGCUUCCAAAACUGUUAGACUAGAGUCUGGGAGGGGAAGAUGGAAUUAGUAGUGUAGGGGUAAAAUCCGUAGAGAUUACUAGGAAUACCAAAAGCGAAGGCGAUCUUCUGGAACAGUACUGACGCUGAGAUGCGAAAGCGUGGGGAGCAAACAGGAUUAGAUACCCUGGUAGUCCACGCAGUGGACGAUGAAUGUUAGUCGUUGGUAUCCUAGAGAUAUCAGUGAUGCAGUUAACACAUUAAACAUUCCGCCUGGGGAGUACGGUCGCAAGAUUAAAACUCAAAGGAAUAGACGGGGACCCGCACAAGUGGUGGAGCAUGUGGUUUAAUUCGAAUAUACGCGAAGAACCUUACCUAGCCUUGACAUAUUUUAGAAUUCACCAGAGAUGGAGGAGUGCCUUCGGGAGCUAAUAUACAGGUGCUGCACGGCUGUCGUCAGCUCGUGUCGUGAGAUGUUGGGUUAAGUCCCGCAACGAGCGCAACCCUCGUCACUAGUUACUAACGAUUCGGUCGAGGACUCUAGUGAGACUGCCUUCGUAAGGAGGAGGAAGGUGAGGACGACGUCAAGUCAUCAUGGCCCUUACGGCUAGGGCAACACACGUGCUACAAUGGUUAGGACAAUGAGAAGCAAUAUCGCGAGGUGGAGCAAAUCUAUAAACCUAAUCUCAGUUCGGAUUGUAGUCUGCAACUCGACUACAUGAAGCUGGAAUCACUAGUAAUCGUAGAUCAGCUAUGCUACGGUGAAUACGUUCCCGGGUCUUGCACUCACCGCCCGUCA